rnacentral:tRNA from 3 species
GCCCCCUUCGUUCAACGGAUAGGACGAGAGUUUCCUAAACUCCAAAUAGAGGUUCGAUUCCUCUAGGGGGCACCA